GGCUACAGCCAUGCCACCCUGAACAUGCCCGAUCCUUUCUGAUCUCAGAAGCUAAGCAGGGUUGGGUCUGGUUAGUACUUGGAUGGGAGACCACCUAGGAAGACCAGGUGCUGUAGGCA
rfam:Pteropus alecto contig168389, whole genome shotgun sequence.